rnacentral:lncRNA from 12 species
AUCUUGAAGCUAACUAAAUUUAUUUUAGAAAUAAAUUGUACAAUAAUAUUUCUUUCUUAAAGGUGCUGAUAUCAGGAACCAAGAGAACACCUCCCAUGGAGACAUGACAGUUAUGUAAUUACAGGUACAUCAAGGCUGACUUCUUUCUAUGUUUUUCUAUGAUAAGUCAUCAAAAGCCUAAAGAAGUGAAGCUACUUGUCCAAAGUUAUAGAACACAAAGCCUUGCACACAUUAGGUCUCAAAAUAUUUGUGGCAGGACCUGCAACCCCUGCAGCUGUACACCUGGGCUCAGCACACAGGGAACCACAACAGGAAUCUGGAUUUUUUUUCAAAGCUUUUUAAUAAAUAAUUCUGGUAUAAACUUGCAUUAGAAACAACUGAUUUGAAACUAUGAUGGACUAGCUAGAUAUUUAUCUUUUGUAUGGCUAUCUCGGUCAACUUUUCUCCUCUUAAUGAGGAUAUUCUUGAUUCAGUACAUCCAUCUGUCAGAUAUUUAUGCGAGCACCUAUUCUAUGCCAGUAUUGCAUCCGGAGGGUACUGGGAAUAGAGUUGGAGUUACCGCAGGGACAAGGCGUUUGUGGCUUGCAUCCACAGGACCCACACAACUAUAGCAAAUAAACAAAUAGUUCUUUAAUAGGCA